ACUUCAUUGAAGUGUUACUGCAUUACAUGCUGUGGUAGUCUGCAUAUCUUGAUAUCUCAACUUGACUUUUAGUUUUUUCUCUUGGACAUAAAUGACUGAUUGCCAAAUGGUUUCCUCAGAUUUUACAGCAGAUGAAAACAUGGAGAUUGAAAGCAUUAGGACGUAUAAGGAAGUCCUUCUGGAUGAUAUCCAGAAGUUAAAGAUGGAGAUAGACAACGUCAUGGCAGACAUACUCAGCUUUGAGUCUUCAGAGGAAAACAGCAAGACCAUAGAGAAGAGCAAACUGUCUGCAAAUGGGAAGAAGAAAUUCAACAUGGACCCCAAAAAGGGCAUCAAUUACCUGGUGGAGAAUGAGCUCCUGGAAAGAAGUGCUCAAUCCAUCGCUGAGUUCCUCUACAAAGAGGAGGGACUCAACAAGACAGCCAUUGGAGAAUUUCUUGGAGAAAGGGAGGAGCUCCACCUCCAGACCCUGAAGGCCUUCGUGGAGCUGCACGAGUUCUCCGACCUGAACCUGGUCCAGGCCCUCAGACAGUUCCUGUGGAGUUUCCGUCUGCCUGGUGAAGCCCAGAAGAUUGACCGCAUGAUGGAGGCUUUUGCCACGCGCUACUGUGACUGCAACACUCAUGUCUUCCAGUCCACCGACACGUGCUACAUCCUGUCAUUUGCCAUCAUCAUGCUCAACACCAGCCUCCACAACCCCAAUGUGAAGGACAAGACGCCUCUGGAGCGUUUCAUCUCCAUGAACAGAGGCAUCAACAACGGGGAGGAUCUACCUGAUGACCUGCUUUCGAAACUGUACGAGAGCAUUCGCAACGAGCCUUUUAAAAUCCCAGAGGAUGAUGGGAAUGAUCUGACUCACACCUUCUUCAACCCUGACAGAGAAGGAUGGCUCCUUAAACUUGGAGGCCGAGUUAAGACGUGGAAGAGGCGAUGGUUCAUCCUGACCGACAACUGCCUCUACUACUUUGAGUUCACCACUGAUAAAGAGCCCAGAGGCAUCAUUCCUCUAGAGAACCUUUGUGUGAGAGAAGUGCCGUAUCCUCGCAAACCGUACUGUCUGGAGCUGUACAAUCCCAACAGUCGAGGGCAGAAGAUCAAAGCGUGUAAAACAGAGACAGACGGAAGAGUGGUGGAGGGGAAGCACCAGUCCUACACCAUCUGUGCUCCUAGCGCGGAGGAGAGAGACUCCUGGAUCGAAGCCAUCAGAGCGAGUAUUACCAAGGACCCGUUCUACGACUUGGUCUCUGUCCGUAAGAAGAAGGUGAUAAACCAAGCUCCUCAGGACUGAGCUCUCCAGUGCUCCCCAUGGACAUGGAUAGCCCCACCGUGGGAUUCAGCCUCCCUUUAAGUUCUGUUAAACUCCGCACAACACAACUGGGUGAGGACACCAGAGGUUAGACACUGACAGUGGUCGUUUAGGCUAUAGAAGGGACUUCUCUUUCCGCUUCUCUUUUUACAGACUAAUCUAAACCGUGUCAAAGGUGAAAACGAGCCACAAAGAAUGUGUGGAUAUAUCUUCUGCAAUAAAAAGUGGAUUUUUGGUUGCCUGCACCACCAGAUUUAGUUUCUUGUAUCAGGAAGAUACAUUUAGCAAGUGAUGUCCCAGGAGGUCUACUCUUAACUUCUGUCCAGUGGAUCAUUAUUUCCUACAUGAAUAGCGUCCAUAAUAUGCUUCUGUUCUGGUUAGGGUUCGAUUGAGAAGUGUUGCUAAUGCUUCAUUUUGUAAAUAGAGAUAUUUUUUCAAGCAUUUAUCGGAAUUCAUUUUUUGUUUCUUGAACUUUAUAGUGAAAUAUAAUUUGCCUAAAAAUGCAGAACACACUCUAAUCAGACCAAUGAUUUCACUCAUAGCACAGUGCAAUAUGUGUAACAUGCAUUGUGUCAAUUUUGAUUUUUUUUGUAAUGUGUGCACUGUAAUAUAUGAAAGAAGUGUUUUAUCUGUACCCUAUAUUGUGUGUUAGUGUAAGUAUUGCAUUUGUUAUAUUAUCAUGAGUUAUUUAAUAUUAAAAAUAUUCAAUUGCCUUUU